UUGUUAAUUCUGCCGGUAUAACCUAACAGCUGAUUCGAAACUCGGAAAUUUUAUUCCCGAACGUGUCAAAACAUCAGUGAUUUUAUAAUUUUUGUCAAUUAUUGUUUCGGUUAUUUUAUCCGUAAAAUUUUGUUUCAAAUAAAAUUUGAAUUUCGCGCAGAUUGCAGCGUACUACAGUAUUAUUAUUCAAACAAGAUAGAAAAUAUCUUAAAAUGAAACAGUAUCGAUUUGUUACGAUAACGGGUGUAGUCGAUCAAAAUAGCUGUUCUGUCAAAGGAUUAACUGAUGAAGAACGUUACCAAGAGCUAUCGCAUUUGGAAUUUUCUUCCUUCGACGAUCAUUACCAUCACAAUAUGAUCGAGGUUAUGAACCAUCUAGGAAGCCUCGGGUAUAAACUAGUUUCCCAAAAUUCAAAUAAAGAUUAUACACAAACUAUUUGGUUGCAAAAAGAAUUAUAAAGUUCCAAUAGACCUGAAGACUUGAACACUAAAUGACAAAAAUUAUUUUAUAAGAUAAUAUUUAUAUCUUUUUUAAAAUGACGGAAAGUAUUUUUUUAAAUUUUAAAUUAAUUUUUAUAAAACGGGUGUAUAUAAUGUUUCAAAUAAUUUUUUAUAUUAUUUUUCAUGAUACCAGCAUCGAAACUUGAAGUUUCAGUGUCUAGAGCCAGUCGAAAAAAGCGAAUUUCAGUCUAAUGGAGGAGAAUAUUAGCAGACACGUAAAUUGUGAAUGCCGGUCAGCGGGCAGAAACAAACGUUUCGACCCUUGGGAAAAAACAAAUAAUGUUUCUGCCCGCUGACUGAAGGCUUUCGCAAUUUAAACUCUGAUACUUGUCAUUGUUUAAUAGACAGAAAAAAAGGAUUUGGCGUAAGAAAUAUUUUGCAUUCUAAAUUGAAGACUAGAAUUUUCUUAGGACUAGAAAAAAUUUAUUGGCGCAAGAAUUUUUUUAUCGCCUUAAAAAAAUUUUUUCUUGCUCCAAGAAAAUUUUUGUUGUCAAUUUAUAAUGCAAAAAAUUUAUUGAGACGAGUAAAAAUUUUAUUGGGACGAGUAAAAAUUUUUUGCGCCAAGAUAGUAUUUAUAGUUUCUGCUUAAUUAUAAAUUGCAAAUGACAAUUUACACUUACGCUAACAGUCGGUCUUACCCUGAUUAAAAAAAAAUGAUUUGAAAUGAUUUAAAAUAAUUUGAAUCGACUAAUAUAUAGAUAUACACUUAGCAUGGAUUAAAUCAUUUUUCUUAAUAAGGGUAAAUAACUUGUUUCUAAUUGGCUGCUGACACUGAAACUUUAAUGUCCAAUGCAGGUAAUCAUGAAAAAUCUAAUGUGUAACUCAGAAUGAAACACGAUUUCAAACUGUGGGUGAUGCCAGUCAACUUCACCCCGGUAUGAAAUCGUUUUGUUUCAUCUCUUGUCACACAAUAUACCAUUACAUAAAAAAUCGUAUCUAUGAUUAUACGAAUUACAGAAAACUAUUCUAAUAUAUUUUGGCUAUCCAAAUAUUAUAAAAAAUAUUUAUUUUUUUAUAAAAAGAAAGGUUGGGUAAUUUGGAAGUUCACUAUAAAAAACGUUUUUGGGAUAUUGUUUUUUUUUCUAUACAAAGUAGAAAAAUGUCUAUACAUAUAAAAAAAUAAUGCCGAUUGAAGUUUACUUUUACAAAAUUUUGAAAUUGAGCAAUCUACCAAUCAAAAUCAUGGUUUAUUUUAAUUUUUGUGACAAUAAUUUAUAUAAAUAUUUAGUGAGAUGAAUCAUGUAAUAAAUAAGCAAUAGUAAUAAUACAUCUGCAAGUAUUUUAAU